CUUUUAUAUAAAUAGUGAAAGACUACUUAUCCUUCAAUACUGGACUCCCUUAUCUUCUCUCUGUCCUUUCUUGCUUUCUGUGAGAGGGAAAAUAGGACGCAAACUUUCAUACGAAGCCCUACCCUUGAUGGGCUAUUUAUGCCAAUCAUGCAAAGUUAGCCACAGAUUCUGAUGGAAUUGUUUGAAAAAUGACAAAUCCUACAGUUGGGUCCCUGCAGGUUCACGAGACCAAGAAAGUGGCCACAUAUUCUGUUCACACGGGAAGUAGACAGCAAACGAUGUUGGCGGCAUGAUAUGCGCCCCUCUGAACCCAGUUUCCGCGUGUAAGCAUCAUGGGAAACUGAUAUGCAUAGGAGGAUUUCGUAUGUAUUCAUGUGGUAACAGUUUUGCUUUCAUGUGAGGAUUAUACUUUGAGUUGGAUUUGUGGUCAAGUCUCUUGCAGUUGCAGAGGAGAGAGAAGAAUAACAGUCUUGGGAAAAAUGAUAAGUGGGCAAAACUUGGGGAAGUUCAUAGCAAGAUAUGUAUUAGAAUUUGAUUUUUCUUGAACAUUCAGUUUUGAUAUCAUCUCAUUUAUGGCCUAUGGUCAACAAGCGGUUGGUUGAUUGGUCUUGAUGCUACAUGAAAGGUCUUGCACCUGAAUAUAUAUGACUUUUGAUCUUCCCCGGUGGGAUGCGGUAAUAGUUAUCCUCUUUGUAUUUUUUUUUUCUUUUUCAAAUUGUAGCUUUAAGUUUUUAAAAUUUUUUUUAAAAUGGUGUUGCACCAUAUGUUCACUCACCUGUGACCCCAGGUGGCAAUUGUUUGUGUGUGUUGACAUGCUAUUUUGUGGUCGGCCUCAUUUACUUGUUUAUGCACACCCGUAUUUCCAGAUCUAAUUGUUUAUACAAGUUGAUGGAGAUGAAAAUAUCGAGGUUAUAAAAACUAGGCUGAUGAUUGAAGCCCGUAAGGCAAUGCUUGAAGAAUUAAUGGUUGGAUUGUGUAUAUUAUAAAUAUAUAUAUUAUAAAAACAAUGCUUAUCA